rnacentral:rRNA from 1 species
GACGAACGCUGGCGGCGUGCUUAACACAUGCAAGUCGAACGGAAAGGCCCUGCUUUUGUGGGGUUCUCGAGUGGCGAACGGGUGAGUAACACGUGAGUAACCUGCCCUUGACUUUGGGAUAACUUCAGGAAACUGGGGUUAAUACCGGAUAGGAGCUCCCGCUGCAUGGUGGGGGUUGGAAAUUUUCGGCGGGUGGGGAUGGACUCGCGGCUGAUCAGCUUGUUGGUUGGGUAGUUGCUUACCAAGGCUUUGACGGGUAGCCGGCCUGUGAGGGUGAACGGCCACAUUGGGACUGAGAUACGGACCAGACUGCUACGGGGGGCAGCAGUGGGGAAUAUUGCACAAUGAGCGGGAGCCUGAUGAAGCAACGCCGCGUGCGGGAUGACGGCCUUCGGGGUGUAAACCGCUGUCGCCUGUGACGAAGCGUGAGUGACGGUAAUGAGUAAAGAAGCACCGGCUAACUACGUG